GGGGGCUAUUUGGGAAUUGUGGGGGCAAGCCUGAUGCCAGCCAUGCCGCGUGCAGGAUGAAGGCCUUCGGGUUGUAAACUGCUUUUGUACGGAACGAAAAGGCUUUGGUUAAUACCCGGGGCUCAUGACGGUACCGUAAGAAUAAGCACCGGCUAACUACGUGCCAGCAGCCGCGGUAAUACGUAUGGUGCGAGCGUUAAUCGGAAUUACUGGGCGUAAAGCGUGCGCAGGCGGUGAUGUAAGACAGAUGUGAAAUCCCCGGGCUCAACCUGGGAACUGCAUUUGAGACUGCAUGGCUGGAGUGCGGCAGAGGGGGAUGGAAUUCCGCGUGUAGCAGUGAAAUGCGUAGAUAUGCGGAGGAACACCGAUGGCGAAGGCAAUCCCCUGGGCCUGCACUGACGCUCAUGCACGAAAGCGUGGGGAGCAAACAGGAUUAGAUACCCUGGUAGUCCACGCCCUAAACGAUGUCAACUGGUUGUUGGUCCUUCACUGAAUCAGUAACGAAGCUAACGCGUGAAGUUGACCGCCUGGGGAGUCGGCCCGCAAGGUUAAAACUCAAAGUU
rnacentral:rRNA from 1 species